rnacentral:rRNA from 1 species
UGUGAACAUACCAAUCGUUGCUUCGGCGGACUCGUCCCAGCGUCCGGGUGGCCUUGCGCCGCCCGCGGCCUGGAACCAGGCGACCGCCGGAGGCCAUUCAAACUCUUUGUAUUACCAGUAUCUUCUGAAUCCGCCGCAAGGCAAAACAAAUGAAUCAAAACUUUCAACAACGGAUCUCUUGGUUCUGGCAUCGAUGAAGAACGCAGCGAAAUGCGAUAAGUAAUGUGAAUUGCAGAAUUCAGUGAAUCAUCGAAUCUUUGAACGCACAUUGCGCCCGCCAGCAUUCUGGCGGGCAUGCCUGUUCGAGCGUCAUUUCAACCCUCGAGCUCCCCUUGGGGAGCCCGGCGUUGGGGACCGGCCUCUACCGCCGACCCCGAAAUACAGUGGCGGCCCCGUCACGGCGACCUCUGCGUAGUAACUCAACCUCGCACCGGAAACCCGACGUGGCCACGCCGUAAAACACCCCACUUCUGAACGUUGACCUCGGAUCAGGUAGGAAUACCCGCUGAACUUAAGCAUAUCAAUAAGCGGAGGAAAAGAAACCAACAAGGAUUCCCCUAGUAACA